rnacentral:rRNA from 1 species
GAGUUUGAUCCUGGCUCGGAUGAACGCUGGCGGCGUGCCUAAUACAUGCAAGUCGAGCGGAUCUUUGGGAGCUUGCUCUCAAAGAUCCGCGGCGGACGGGUGAGUAACACGUGGGCAAUCUGCCUGUGAGACUGGGUUAACUUCGGGAAACCGGAGCUAAUACCGGAUAACAUAAAAGACCACAUGGUCUUCUAUUGAAAGAUGGCUUCGGCUAUCACUUACAGAUGAGCCCGCGGCGCAUUAGCUAGUUGGUGAGGUAAUGGCUCACCAAGGCGACGAUGCGUAGCCGACCUGAGAGGGUGAUCGGCCACACUGGGACUGAGACACGGCCCAGACUCCUACGGGAGGCAGCAGUAGGGAAUCUUCCGCAAUGGACGAAAGUCUGACGGAGCAACGCCGCGUGAGCGAUGAAGGCCUUCGGUCGUAAAGCUCUGUUGUUAAGGAAGAACAAGUAUCGUUCGAAUAGGGCGGUACCUUGACGGUACUUAACCAGAAAGCCACGGCUAACUACGUGCCAGCAGCCGCGGUAAUACGUAGGUGGCAAGCGUUAUCCGGAAUUAUUGGGCGUAAAGCGCGCGCAGGCGGUUCCUUAAGUCUGAUGUGAAAGCCCACGGCUCAACCGUGGAGGGUCAUUGGAAACUGGGGAACUUGAGUGCUGAAGAGGGGAGUGGAAUUCCACGUGUAGCGGUGAAAUGCGUAGAGAUGUGGAGGAACACCAGUGGCGAAGGCGACUCUCUGGUCAGUAACUGACACUGAGGCGCGAAAGCGUGGGGAGCGAACAGGAUUAGAUACCCUGGUAGUCCACGCUGUAAACGAUGAGUGCUAAGUGUUAGAGGGUUUCCGCCCUUUAGUGCUGCAGCAAACGCAUUAAGCACUCCGCCUGGGGAGUACGGUCGCAAGACUGAAACUCAAAGGAAUUGACGGGGGCCCGCACAAGCGGUGGAGCAUGUGGUUUAAUUCGAAGCAACGCGAAGAACCUUACCAGGUCUUGACAUCCUUAUGACAUCCCUAGAGAUAGGGCUUUCCCUUCGGGGACAUAAGUGACAGGUGGUGCAUGGUUGUCGUCAGCUCGUGUCGUGAGAUGUUGGGUUGAGUCCCGCAACGAGCGCAACCCUUGAUCUUAGUUGCCAGCAUUUAGUUGGGCACUCUAAGGUGACUGCCGGUGACAAACCGGAGGAAGGUGGGGAUGACGUCAAAUCAUCAUGCCCCUUAUGACCUGGGCUACACACGUGCUACAAUGGAUGGUACAAAGGGCAGCAAAACCGCGAGGUUAAGCGAAUCCCAUAAAACCAUUCUCAGUUCGGAUUGCAGGCUGCAACUCGCCUGCAUGAAGCUGGAAUCGCUAGUAAUCGCGGAUCAGCAUGCCGCGGUGAAUACGUUCCCGGGCCUUGUACACACCGCCCGUCGCACCACGAGAGUUUGUAACACCCGAAGUCGGUGGGGUAACCGCAAGGAGCCAGCCGCCUAAGGUGGACAGAUGAUUGGGGUGAAGUCGUAACAAGGUAGCCGGAC